UAUAUUUUUUUUCUCUUUUAAUUUGAACAUGUAAUGGGGAUAUUGAUCGUUGGCUUGCCAGACGUGUCCUUCUAGAACACUUACACCUACGAGAUAUACGUCUCAAUCGAAAAAACUCGUGUGGUGAUGAAAGAUGUGAGUGUCGACACUAUGUAGGGGAAAAAGUUCGCUUUCAAGUGGGGCAAAGUGGAUGAUAUAUUCUUUCAACAAUCACGUUCUACACUUGCGCAUCGGCAUAUUUUUUGGGAACGACGCACUUCGGUGAACCCAUUUGGCACACGGUGAGCCCAGCGAUAUGGCCUCAUCAUUUGCGAUAAAAAUCCUUAUUUCAGGCAAUCGUCCAACAGAAAUACGAUAGGCCCGUUUGCAUCCAUUUUGCUUUCCUUUUGAAUACUAGAAAUGUUUAUUUUAGGGAAAACAACGUAUAUAAGAAUUAAGAUUGAAAUGGAUCCCCCAGAAAGAUGGAUUAUCAAGAAUUCUGUCGGACAUGGUUGAAAGAAGAGGAGCUGGGCGUCUUCUCAUUUGACGUGUCACAGGGAAAAGUCGAGAGACAUUGAUAAGAAAACAUCAGCAAAGCCACACCUU